UAUGUUUUAGUAUAAGAAGUACAUUAAUUUUUGAUAUUAAUAGGGACAGUUUAAUUCUGUUAAAUGUAA
rnacentral:tRNA from 1 species